AUUGAACGCUGGCGGCAGGCUUAACACAUGCAAGUCGAGCGGGGGAAGGUAGCUUGCUACCGGACCUAGCGGCGGACGGGUGAGUAAUGCUUAGGAAUCUGCCUAUUAGUGGGGGACAACAUCUCGAAGGGGAUGCUAAUACCGCAUACGUCCUACGGGAGAAAGCAGGGGAUCUUCGGACCUUGCGCUAAUAGAUGAGCCUAAGUCAGAUUAGCUAGUUGGUGGGGUAAAGGCCUACCAAGGCGACGAUCUGUAGCGGGUCUGAGAGGAUGAUCCGCCACACUGGGACUGAGACACGGCCCAGACUCCUACGGGAGGCAGCAGUGGGGAAUAUUGGACAAUGGGGGGAACCCUGAUCCAGCCAUGCCGCGUGUGUGAAGAAGGCCUUAUGGUUGUAAAGCACUUUAAGCGAGGAGGAGGCUACUUUAGUUAAUACCUAGAGAUAGUGGACGUUACUCGCAGAAUAAGCACCGGCUAACUCUGUGCCAGCAGCCGCGGUAA
rnacentral:rRNA from 1 species